UACGGGGGGAGCAAGCGUUGGUCGGAUUUACUGGGCGUAAAGGGCGCGUAGGCGGCCUCUGCAAGUCGACUGUGAAAUCUCCGGGCUUAACCCGGAAAGGUCAGCCGAUACUGCAGGGCUAGAGUGCAGAAGGGGCAACUGGAAUUCUCGGUGUAGCGGUGAAAUGCGUAGAUAUCGAGAGGAACACCUGCGGCGAAGGCGGGUUGCUGGGCUGACACUGACGCUGACAGCGCGAAAGCUAGGGGAGCGAACGGG
rnacentral:rRNA from 1 species